rnacentral:rRNA from 1 species
GUGGGGAAUUUUGGACAAUGGGCGAAAGCCUGAUCCAGCCAUGCCGCGUGCAGGAUGAAGGCCUUCGGGUUGUAAACUGCUUUUGUACGGAACGAAAAGACUCCUUCUAAUAAAGGGGGUCCAUGACGGUACCGUAAGAAUAAGCACCGGCUAACUACGUGCCAGCAGCCGCGGUAAUACGUAGGGUGCAAGCGUUAAUCGGAAUUACUGGGCGUAAAGCGUGCGCAGGCGGUUAUAUAAGACAGAUGUGAAAUCCCCGGGCUCAACCUGGGAACUGCAUUUGUGACUGUAGAGCUAGAGUACGGUAGAGGGGGAUGGAAUUCCGCGUGUAGCAGUGAAAUGCGUAGAUAUGCGGAGGAACACCGAUGGCGAAGGCAAUCCCCUGGACCUGUACUGACGCUCAUGCACGAAAGCGUGGGGAGCAAACAGGAUUAGAUACCCGAGUAGUCC